UACGAGGGGGGCGAGCGUUGUUCGGAAUUAUUGGGCGUAAAGGGUGCGUAGGCGGGGCUUUAAGUCAGGGGGGAAAUCCUGGAGCUCAACUCCAGAACUGCCUUUGAUACUGAGGAUCUUGAGUUCGGGAGAGGUGAGUGGAACUGCGAGUGUAGAGGUGAAAUUCGUAGAUAUUCGCAAGAACACCAGUGGCGAAGGCGGCUCACUGGCCCGAUACUGACGCUGAGGCACGAAAGCGUGGGGAGCAAACAGG
rnacentral:rRNA from 1 species